rnacentral:tRNA from 1 species
GGGAAAGUAGCUCAGGGGAUAGAGCGCCCGAUUCUGAGUACGGAGGUCGCAGGUUUGAGUCCUGCCUUUCCA